rnacentral:rRNA from 1 species
UACGAAGGGGGCUAGCGUUGCUCGGAAUUACUGGGCGUAAAGCGCACGUAGGCGGAUUGUUAAGCCGGGGGUGAAAUCCUGGAGCUCAACUCCAGAACUGCCUUCGAUACUGGCGAUCUCGAGUUCGGGAGAGGUGAGUGGAACUGCGAGUGUAGAGGUGAAAUUCGUAGAUAUUCGCAAGAACACCAGUGGCGAAGGCGGCUCACUGGCCCGAUACUGACGCUGAGGUGCGAAAGCGUGGGGAGCAAACAGG